rnacentral:rRNA from 1 species
UACAGAGGUGGCAAGCGUUGUUCGGAAUUACUGGGCGUAAAGGGCGCGUAGGCGGCCUUCUAAGUCAGACGUGAAAUCCCCAGGCUCAACCUGGGAACUGCGUCCGAUACUGGAUGGCUUGAAUUCGGGAGAGGGAUGCAGAAUUCCAGGUGUAGCGGUGAAAUGCGUAGAUAUCUGGAGGAAUACCGGUGGCGAAGGCGGCAUCCUGGACCGACAUUGACGCUGAUGAGCGAAAGCCAGGGGAGCAAACGGG